UAUGUGAUCGUCUCUCGCAUAUCAAAUAAGCGGAGGAAAAGAAACUAACAAGGAUUCCCCUAGUAACGGCGAGUGAAGCGGGAAGAGCUCAAAUUUGAAAUCUUAAAGGGUUUCCCUUUACGAAUUGUAGUUUAAAGAAGUGUUUUCUGUUGAGGUUUUGGUAAAAGUUCUUUGGAAUAGGACAUCAUAGAGGGUGAGAAUCCCGUAUUUGACCUUUACUUUCAACUUUGUGAUACACUUUCAAAGAGUCGGAUUGUUUGGGAAUGCAGUCCAAGAUGGGUGGUAAAUUUCAUCUAAAGCUAAAUAUUGGCGAGAGACCGAUAGCGAACAAGUACCGUGAGGGAAAGAUGAAAAGAACUUUGAAAAGAGAGUUAAACAGUACGUGAAAUUGUCAAAAGGGAAGCGUUUGACACCAGUGUUGUUUUUCUGAAAAUCAAUUAAAGAACUGUUUAUGCUAAGUUGUUUAGACUUUAUCAGCUAUCUGUUUAGUUUUGAGCUUUUCUUUAAUGCACUUUUCAGUUAACAAGUCAACAUCAAUUUCUUUUGCUGUAAAGAAGCUUGAGGAAGGUGGCUUGAGAUUCGUCUUAAGUGUUUAUAGGCCUCUUGCCUAUGCAGUCGGAGAGAUUGAGGUCUGCAGCGUAGAUCCUUCGGGGCUAAAUGCAUUUGUGCUAAGUUAUAGCAUAUUAUAGACAACUUGUUGACUAUGAUUUGUCUUGUAGCUUACUCGCUUAUGUUAUGUUACCUACGCUUAGGAUGUUGAAUAGCGACAUACGCAC
rnacentral:rRNA from 1 species